ensembl:lncRNA
GCCUGUGUCAAUCGAGGAUGAGUUUAGUGAGGGUUGAAAGUUUUCGAUCUAGAUUGCAGAUCACUAUUGUCACUUUAUACAAACUGAAGGUAUGCGUCGUUGCGUGUUUGUUUUUGUGGGCAUUUGACUGAACAGCCCAGACAAAUAUUGCUACCAACAUGGCACUUCGAAACAGACCACCACAGUGAGUAAAAGUUAUUUUCCUUUAUUAAAUGUUGACGUUUUUGGGCUGUCUCUUCAGACACAAGCCAUCAGUAUCCCUGCUCUUUGCAUCUUGACAUGCAUGUCACCGCUGUUUGUUAACCUAGCUUUGCUGAUUUGUAUCUUGUGAUGUGAGUGUGUUUUUCUUAACAGGUGUUAGAUGACUGACAAGAUCUAUGGGGGGGCCCCCUUUGGGCCCCCCCAUACCAACUUAGUCUUCAAAGGAAUCUAGUGCCAUGGGACUCCAGUGUCUUCAAAACAUCCUCGGAAUACAUGUGUAUGAAUGGUCCACCGAAGGUUGAUCUGGAAGCCACCACGGUCCACGCAGUAAUCUGCUGCGUGGGCGUGAGUGGCUUCCAGAGCCAUCUUUCGGUCUUGGUCAGGAUUUGUUACAGUUGCCCUUCAAUGUAGCAGGCUACGGGUUUCUGAAGAAGCCUGCUUUACGUAGCACUGGAGUACAAAUAUUGUGCAAAAUGCUCAUGUAAUUGCACUAGCACUGGUAACCUGUAGAUUAGCUUAGUUUAACGUAAUUCGGUGCUGUCUGUCAAAUGUGUGGCUUACUUUAAGUCCACAAGGCCCUCUGGUAAACCACGUUGGAACACCCCUGGACAAGGUGAUUAGUCACUGGGUGUGUGCUAAAGUUUUGUUCCAUUUUUCACUAGUUGCAUAAGGUUUGGUAGAAUUGUUUGGAUGCUAGCGACGUGAUGGCGUAUGUACAAGAGCCUACCGUGGCCAGGCCACAGUUGCGACGGGCACGGCCAGAUGGCCUAGUGUGAGUGCAAUCUUGAUUACAUUUGUAUACUGUUUACCAUUGGAUGUUUAUGCAAUUUGGCUUAAUUCAUCCGCUGUAAAGCUGCAUUUGACUAUUCCAGGGUCGUUUUGUACAGGCUUUCAAUUGACCAUGUUGAUUAGUUUGUGGGAAGUUUUUAUUUUUUUAUUUUUUUUACCCUUGCUUACAAUCCAACGGUUGCGACCACUUAUGCAACUGGGCUGUGAACCUUGCAAUUCUAGUUGCAUAUUUGUACACGCAAGCUUGUCCAUUUCUAUCGCCAUCACUAACCCUAGCUUCAGCAUUUCCUUGUAGGCCAUUAGCUGACUUGUGUAUUGGAGCAAUGAUUUGGGUAUUUUAAGAUGCUUGAAAACCUAAAAUAAAGCAAAAUGCGUGUCUGGUGUGCAAGAGCCAAUUUGUUGGCUUGCAGUAGUCGAGGAGUUGACGUAGGUCGUAAGACAUCUGGAGGUUGUGGCAAUGGAGGCUUGUGGUAGAUCUGCCUUCCAAGAAAGGCUAAUUCUUCUGAAGCAUGAUUAAUAGUUUAGUAAAUUGAAUCUAUUCAUAUAGAACUAUAAAAUCCAAGACUGCAGCUAGUAACUUGGAUCGCAAUAUGUGGAAAGUAUUAGUCUUCAUUUGUAACAACAGAAUAAUUAACAUGACUAACUGGGUUUCUUCCAUUUUCUAACUAGGGGGACUUGACUGGUGAGUCUACUGGAUUAAUCAGUAGCGGUACUUUGCCCAACAGAUUUGAUGGCAUGACUACAGGUUGGUGGUUCAACACUGAUGUCUCUCUAGGCUUGAGGGAGAGCUCAUAAGUAAAUUACACGAAUGUCCUGGAGCAAUUGGGAAUACACUUUUAUUUAGUCUACCUGACCAGGGACAUCUUUGAACUAUAGGUCACCUAACCCAAACUUUUCACUCUUGUUAGGUUGUCCUUUUCUCUUGUUUUAACCCGAAAGGGCUGAAAAUAUCAACAUUUCAGGUAUUCUGUUUGGAUAAUGUGCAGAACUUGUGGCUUCACUAAUAAAAAAAAAUUAACGAAUGUAUUUUUCUUAAUGUGGUUAAACUAUUUAAAGAUUUGUAUGAAAAAUAUUUCUGCUCAAUUUGUGGUCAAUGAAACUCAAAUUUUUUAAUUUGAUAAAAAACAACGAUGGGUUGAAGGUAUUUGCUUUGGGCAUCUUUUGAUAUUUUUAGAAUCUAGCUCCGUUGCCGUUAGAAAUGGUGUCUCCCAGUACUGCAAAGUGCUUCCACAAGUUUAAAAAAGAAUGGGCAGAAAAGGAACUGCCAACUAAAUCUAUUUAACAUGGGUAGAAAGUUUGCAUGGAAGCUCUUGGCUGCUGGUUCCCAACACAGCUCCACUGUUAGCCUGUGACCUUGCGUUUAACUUUUUUGGACUUUUGGUGACUUUCACAAAAGAGAAAUGAACUGGUUAAUACAAUAAACAAGACAUUUGAAACUUCAGCUACAUUUUUAUCUAUUUGUACUGCCUUUGAUUUCAACCCGUGACAUGUUUGUCAGGUGAUAACUAUGUACCUGUGACCGCAUAUCAUGGUACCAUUUUGAACUGUUUGUGGAUAUUGCAUU